rnacentral:rRNA from 1 species
CACGUAGGGUGCGAGCGUUGUCCGGAAUUAUUGGGCGUAAAGAGCUCGUAGGCGGUGUGUCGCGUCGGCCGUGAAAACCUGCAGCUUAACUGUGGGCUUGCGGUCGAUACGGGCACCACUGGAGUUCGGCAGGGGAGACUGGAAUUCCUGGUGUAGCGGUGAAAUGCGCAGAUAUCAGGAGGAACACCGGUGGCGAAGGCGGGUCUCUGGGCCGAUACUGACGCUGAGGAGCGAAAGCGUGGGGAGCGAACAGG